rnacentral:lncRNA from 1 species
GGGGGCGGGGCCGGGGCCGCCCGGGGGCGGGGACUCGGCUCUGGCCCCGCCCCGCGGCCCCGCCCCCGAGGCGCGCGCCGCCCGCAGCCGCCGUGCCGAUGCCACGUGGGAGGCGGCGGAGCCGCCGCCGCCGCCGGGCCGGAGUCGCGGCCCCGCUAACGCUGGGGACGGCGCUCGCCGGCCGCCGCGAGGAGGGGAGGUCGCGGAGCCCCCGGGACCGCACCGGGAUCGCCGAGACCCGAUGGGUGCUCGGCGCGGUGGCGCCCGGCUCGCGGCUCGGCCUCCCGGGCCUAGAGGCGCUGGCGGCGGCGGCCGGGCCUAGGGGCGGCUCUCCGCCCUGGGCGGCGCCCUCGCUGCUGCAGGUGCCGGCGGCGGCCCAGCCGGCCCCGCGGCGGGACGGCAGCGACCUGCCCGCCGGCGCGCCCGCCGCCCUGGCCGUGCUGCGGCUUCAGCCCGGCGCCGAGGGCUCGGCGCGGGCGGCGGCGGCGGCGGCGGCCGGGGCCGCGCCGCGCCUGCGGACCGUCUACGUGAACCCGCGCUGGCUGGAGCGCCAGGCCGCGCUGGGGGCGGCGGCGGCAGCGGCGGCGGCCGCCAGCCCCUGCGCCGAGGCGGCAGCGGCGAGCGGCGCGGCCGGGGCCCCGGCUCCGGCUCCGGCCCCAGCUCCAGCCCCAGCCCCAGCCCCUGCUCCUGCUCCUGCUCCGGCCCCAGCUCCGGCAGCGGCGGCGGCGGCGGGGCAGGGCGAGGCCGAGGCGGCGGCCACCCCCUACGUGGGGCUGCGGCGGCCGCUGGGCUACAAGUUGGCCAAGGCCACGAAGGAGCGGAUCUGGCGGGGGGAGUUCAUUGACCUCUUUUCCUUGCUCCACACAGAGCUGGCCCCCGAGCACGGCCCGCGCCCGGGGGACACGCUGGACCAGUGGGUCUCGGCCUUCCUGGUGUACGCCAGCGUGCUGUGCGAGAAGCACCCGGCGCGCUGCGGAGCCAUGUUCAAGUACCUGGACACCAUCCGCAAGCUGCACGCCACCUACGGGGGCACCUCCUGGAUGAACUACGAUGAGGAUUUCCGGCGGCGGGCGGCCAAGAACCCCUCGCUGCCCUGGGGCGAUGUCGACUUGGACCUGUGGAUGAAGUGGAUGGCACCCCUCAAGUCGCUUGUCCCCAGACGCCUGCGUACCGACAGCGAGACACAGGCCUCGCCGGCCCAGCCGCCACCGCCGGGCCAGAGCCCCAAGCAGGAGGAGAAAAGCCAGACUCCAUGAAAACAGAAGACCAGUUGGGAUGGGAGUCAGACUAAGUGG